rnacentral:lncRNA from 1 species
GGCCUUGGCUCUGGCUGGGACGGCGCGUCCAGUCUGCGUGCGGCCUCGCGGACCCCCAGCCGGCAGCGGGGCCCCUGGGGCGCCUUCCGCGAGCCUGGGGGCCAGGCGGAGCUAGACGAGGCUCAGGGUCACUUACAGAGAGAUAGAGGACAAGCCGCAGACGCCGUUUUACAGCGGAGGACGCUGAGGCACAGGUUACCUAGCCCACUGGCUUGUCUGGCCCAGAUGUGUCUGCUGAGAUGCUAGCUCAGAGCUGAAGGGUGGACGGUGACUCGACGGAGCUGCACAGCCCUUGGGGACUCCCAAGGUGGGCUACAUUCAUUGUCUUUUCGGUAUUGUCCAGGACAAGCUUCUGUGAGUCCCUUGGGGAGACAGGCUUUUUAGAAGGAGUGGGUGGUUCAAUUCGGAGAAUGUUCUGGAGAGACUGGAGGGAGUCUUUGGUUUCAAAUGGGAUCUGAAUCCUGGCUAUCACCUGCUUGGUGGUGCUUGCUGAUUUCUGUGACCCAUCUGUUGGUAGAUUUCAAGCUACCAGUGAGCUACGACAGAGCAAAGAGUUGGGGGUAGAAGCACAGAAGUCUUUCACGCCGCUGUGUGGCACGCUCCGGCACUUUGCCAGCAGUUUCUUCCUAGUGUGACCUAGGCAAGUGAUUUCACCAUUGUAACUUCACUUUCUUCACCUGUAAAACGGGCCAACACCACCUCUCCCAGGCUGUUGGCAUGAGGAUUAAGUGACAGUCUUUUCCCCCCGCUUAUUAUACCCAGCUUAUUCAAUUCUUAGAAUGGCCUUACACAUUCUGAUUAUUUAGUUUUAUGUCAGUUUUUCCAAUGAACUGUGAAGUCCUUGAAGUCAGGGACCAUGUCGCAUUUCUCUUUGUAUCCCCAAUGUCUAGUACAGAGCUUGGCACAUAAUAGGCACUCAAUAAAUGUGACCCUUUGAAACCCAAAGCUAUGGUCCUGUGUGCGCUGAACUUGUGGUACCUCUCACGCGGGCUGUCUCUGUGAGCCUGGCGGGGGAGGGUGGACCUGCAGACCCUUGCAUGGAUUCUUCCCAAGGAGCCUAGGUGGCUGGGUGAGAUUUCAGCGUUUCAAAGUCCCUCCUGGGAGCCACGUGCCGUCUGAGGGCCGGCUCUCGGAGGAUCACGCUGAGCACGUGCCCUGGGCACCUGGAGCCCCCUGCACUGGCCUGUAGAUUGUAGAGAGGGAUGGUGAGGGG